GGAAGAUCCCCUGGAGGAGGAAAUGGCGACCCACUCCAGUAUUCCUGCCUGGAGAAUCCCAGGGACGGAGGAGCCCGGAGGGCUGCAGUGCAUGGGGUCGCAAAGAGUCGGACAUGACUGAUGACUUCACUUUCACUUUC